rnacentral:ncRNA from 1 species
UACUUUGUAGCGAUUACAAAUUAGCUAAAGCUAAACUUAGCAUGGUAAUUUAAGUAAAAACAAUUAUUUUUACAACCCAGCAAGAAACAUUAAGCUAUAUUAGAAAUAAUAACUUAAUUUAGCUUAUAAACCGGACCAAUUAGGUGCCAGCAGUCGCGGUCAUACCUAACGGUUAAGUUAAUAUUCUUAGGUUAUCUAAAAUGUUCAAAAUACUAUUAUCGAGUGAAAUCGCAAUAGUAUAAUACUACUCACUUAUAGUUAUGAUCAAGCUCUGAAGAUAAACUAGGAUUAGAUACCCUACUAUAUAGAGUAUAAAUUAAAUACCUAAGCACUAAGACUAGAAAGUUAAAACUUAAACUACAUGGCGGCAGAUAGAAUUUUCAGGGGAACUUGCCAGGUAAAUGAUGACCCACAAAAUACUCUACUUCAAUUAAUAGCCUGUAUAUCGCCGUCUUCAGCGCCCUUUUAAGAAAGGCUCCAAAUGUUUAAACAAAAAGACAGGUUAGAUGCAGCCAAUAUUGAAGUCUAGGUGAGUUACAAUAAAAAAUCUUUUUGAACAUGUUUUUAAAAACAACAAUAAGAAAAUGGACUUGAAAGUAAGAAUUAUUAAGAACAUAUUUUGAAUUUAUAUCUAUCUGUGCACAAAUCGCCCGUCACUUUCUUCGAAAGAGGAAAUAAGUCGUAACACAGUAGGUGUACCGGAAGGUGCACCU